GCGGAGGAAAAGAAACUAACAAGGAUUCCCCUAGUAACUGCGAGUGAAGCGGGAAAAGCUCAAAUUUAAAAUCUGGCGGUCUUUGGCUGUCC
rnacentral:rRNA from 1 species